UCCUCGCUCGAAGAAUCGCAACGAAGCACACACACAGAGCACUUUCGAGUGUCUCGUCGCCGCUUUGGGAGAAAGUCCCCGGACAUCAGUCUUCUUGACUGCACUUUCAGCAACGAACCGCCAUAGAAGCGCGGCUUCCUACCGAUCACGGCACUUCUUCGCGCUCCUUUCCGCCUGCACUCUUCUCCCUCGCUUUUCCGAUGCCGCUCGUGGAGGGGCUGGCACCAGGGCGAUGAUAUGAGCCCGCUGGCUACCUUGCUUGUUGUCGCUGAGGGAUCGCGAGAGCCGGGAGGAGGACGGUAGAUGUCGGAGCUGUGUCAGGUAUGGAAGGCCUUCUCGUCCAGUUUAUGGUUAUGCGAUUGUCAUCCGCACUUCUCGGUCAAACGGGACGUUUCGGACGAUAACUCAAUGGGGCUUAUUCUUGACGCGAGG
rnacentral:RNase_MRP_RNA from 2 species